AGUUGAACUGGGGGAAAAACUCACUAAAAAUAAUUAUUACAGGGAUUUUUAACAGUAGGUACAAAAAAGCGUGAUUUAAGCGAGCGUGGUUGCUAUGCGUCCCCAGGUUCUAUUUGCAUUGCAUCUUUUGAUAUAGUUCAGACACAUUUCACUCGACGUGUUGUGCAAAGCUACAAGGGAUUUCUGCAAAUUUCUGCAAAUUUCUGGAAAAGUAAGACACCUUUCUGCUCAAGACUUCUUGCAGCCUUACAAGAGUUCAACUCCCACCGUCACGAAGGAAAGCGACCCAGCAUCCAUCAUCCGUCAUGGACAAGCUUACUGUGCCCGUUCACCUCAAAGACCAUAAUUAUCGGAUGAAAAACACUGCAUGCCAGGCCUGUGAUGCGGAGAAACCCAGAGCCUGCCGCAAACAACCGUGCUGCAGCAAGGACCAGGUUAUUAAUUCAACCCUGAGGCCCCGGCGCUCUGAUAGAAUAGCCAGUCAGCCCCAGAAAAGGAAGCGAAGCCCAGCAUCCAGUUCUUCCCGACCUUUGGUUAAACCUCGAAAGAACUCGGUGCCUCCCUCUGCUAUUUCACAUGACGACCUGCCAGUGGCAAAAAAAAUGCCCCCCAGACCCGAGCCAUGCAGUACCGACCACCAGCCAACCAGCUCCGGUGACAGCCCUUUAAAAAUCCACAAUCUCUCAGUGGAAGAUUAUCAGCGACUCUACCAUGAGGUGGUAGAUAGCAUGCUGACGUACAAGAAUGGCCGCCCUCGUCCCUACAGUUUAGAGCUGGGGAGACGCAUUAAGAAAAAGCUGUGGGAGAGACUGAAUCGUCCUGUGGUGCAGACAUCAACUAACGAGGAUGGACUUGAACACAUUGACAUGGUGUAUGGGCAAAAAGUCAAACUCCCAAACUAUGAUUUUGACAUUUCGAGUUAGCCACAUCCUCAACAUCCACCGAGCAAAAGAGGAAAGGAAAACUGAAUGUAGAGCAGCAGGAGCACUGCUACAAGACAUACAAUCAAAAACUGUGAAACACACAAAUCAACUGUAGAUAAAAUUACUGUAAAUAUAUGACAAAUGUUUUUGUAAAUAGUUCAGAUGUGACUUUAAUGAUUAAAAUGUAAUUUCUGCACA
ensembl:lncRNA